GAUGAACGCUGGCGGCGUGCCUAAUACAUGCAAGUCGAGCGAACAGACGAGGAGCUUGCUCCUCUGACGUUAGCGGCGGACGGGUGAGUAACACGUGGAUAACCUACCUAUAAGACUGGGAUAACUUCGGGAAACCGGAGCUAAUACCGGAUAAUAUAUUGAACCGCAUGGUUCAAUAGUGAAAGACGGUUUUGCUGUCACUUAUAGAUGGAUCCGCGCCGCAUUAGCUAGUUGGUAAGGUAACGGCUUACCAAGGCAACGAUGCGUAGCCGACCGGAGAGGGUGAUAGGCCACACUGGAACUGAGACACGGUCCAGACUCCUACGGGAGGCAGCAGUAGGGAAUCUUCCGCAAUGGGCGAAAGCUUGACGGAGCAACGCCGCGUGAGUGAUGAAGGUCUUCGGAUCGUAAAACUCUGUUAUUAGGGAAGAACAAAUGUGUAAGUAACUAUGCACGUCUUGACGGUACCUAAUCAGAAAGCCACGGCUAACUACGUG
rnacentral:rRNA from 1 species